CCUCUUACAUCCUUCCCAUCCAUCUGUGAGCCGCAGAGCACCGGUGCUGCACUUCACUGUCUGGUCGAGGGGAUUUCUCGGGACAGCAGCUGGAGCUACUCUGAGA